rnacentral:tRNA from 1 species
GGGUUGAUGGUUCAGUGGUAGAACUCUCACCUGCCAUGUAGGAGACCUGGGUUCAGUUCCCGGCCAAUGUA